rnacentral:pre_miRNA from 1 species
GACCCAAAUUUGAAGUAGAGUAAAUUAGAAGGAUCAUCUGACUCUUUUGAACCACUAUACUUCGAGUUUGUGCCC